GCCUACGACCAUAUCACCCUGAAUGCGCCCGAUCUCGUCUGAUCUCGGAAGCUAAGCAUGGUCGAGCCUGGUUUGUACUUGGAUGGGAGACUGCCUGGGAAUACCAGGUGUUGUAGGCU
rnacentral:rRNA from 1 species